rnacentral:lncRNA from 1 species
UUAGGUCAAUUAUACAUAUACCUUUAAAUUUUAAUAUAUUUAAAAUGUAUUUAAAUAUUUUUUCUUUCUUUAUUGUUUGGGUGAUUGAUAAAGAAAUGUAAAGAAAUGAAAUUAAAGUUACAACGAUAUCAUUUAAUAGAUACUUUUUUGCUUCGUGUGUUCUAAAGUUGUAUUGUUUAUUUUUAUUUGAUAAUGUGUAAUUGCAACUUCAAUUCUUUGAUAUUGUGUUUUAAUUUUAAUAUGUUGCAGUAAUGGCACGUCUGCCUUUAAUUGCACAAAGUGUGAGGCGUAAAAGAAUUGGUAUUGUAUUGACAAUAUGGUUGAAAAUUUGUAGAAUUGCGAUUUGGUUCUUAUUUAUAAUGGGUGCCAGCCUUAGCCUACAUACUUAUAGACCAAGGAUUAGGUCAUAUACCUUAGAUUUUUAUGCAAAAUAGGAUUAUGUGAAAAGGCUCGUAUAUGCUAGUGACGAGACCUGUAUUGAACAAGUUAGGAUGAAUAGAACUGCCUUUUUUAAACUAUGUGAGAUGUUAGAAUCGUUAGGGGGAUUGAAAUCGUCAAGAAACAUGCUUGUUGAUGAACAAGUGGCAAUGAUUUUACAUAUCAUCUCCCAUCACUUGAAAAAUUGAGUUAUCAAGCAUCAUUUUAGAAGGUCCGGGGAAACUGUUAGAAGAGCAUUUCGUAGUGUUUUAAAUGAUGUCUUGCGCUUACAAGAUGUGUUAUUUAAAAAGGCGGAGCCAAUUACAACUAAUUCUUCUGACACAAGGUGGAAAUAGUUUAAGGUAUUGGACUGAGUUUUAUAUAUAGCUUAUACAACAUUUAGUUGAUUUAGAUUUAAAUUAGUAUUCUAACUCAAUGAUUUAUAUCAUGUGAUAUAGAAUUGCUUAGGUGCUCUUGAUGGAACCCACAUCAAGAUUAGGGUUCCAACAGUUGAUAAACAUAUAUAUCGAACGCGAAAAAGUGACAUAGCAACAAAUAUGCUAGGUGUUUGUACACUUGAUAUGCAAUUUAUUUAUGUUCUUCUUGGUUGGGAAGGUUCUGUUGCUGAUGAACGGGUUCUUCGAGAUGCCAUUAGUAGAAGACAUAGACUAAAAGUUCCUCAUGGUAAAGUGGAUAGUUAGAGGACUUUGAAUUAUUCACUAAGAUCAAACUUUUUGUACUGAAUUAAUCAUUUAAAAAAAUUAUUUUAUAGAUUGUUAUUAUCUAGUUGAUGCUGGAUACACAAAUUGUAAGAGAUUUCUUGCACCAUUUAGAGGACAACGAUAUCAUUUGAACGAGUGGCGUCAGGGUUAUCAGCAAAGUUCUCUGCAAGAGUUUUUUAAUAUGAAACAUGCCUCAGCACGUAAUAUUAUUGAAAGAUGCUUUGGGUUAUUAAAACUUAGAUGGAGAAUACUUAGGAGUCCAUCAUUCUAUCCUGUAAGGGUGCACAAUAGAAUUAUUAUUGCACGUUGUUUGCUCCAUAAUUUUAUUCGAACCCAUAUGAGUAUUGAUCCUAUUAAAGCGGAGGUGGGAGAAGGAUUACCUAGUAAUGUGGUGAAUGACGAUGAACCGAAUAUCGCAAAUAUUCAUCCAUCGGAUGUUUGAGCUACUUGGAGGAUGAAACUAGCCAACCAAAUGUUUAAUGAAUGGCAAGCAUCUAGAAAUUAGUUAGGUUUAGGGACAAAAUGAGUUUCAGUUAAUUUGUUUAUGUUAUUUUAUGUAUCUAGUUUGUGAAACUUUGGUGGUGUUUGAAUUGAGUUUUGUAUUGUACUAAACUUGUUGAAUUAUAAUUUAAUUUUUUUCAUUCAGCAUGUGUUAUAAUUUUAAAUUUAGUAUUAAGCUUUUGAUUCAUUAUAUUGAACUUAAUUAUAAUUUUAUAAAGUGUUCACCUUCUGAUUCAUGACAUUAAUAGUAAUUAAUAUAAUUUAUUUUUUUCUUAAGAUAAUUAUUUCAGGUGUUCUAGAAUCAAAUUCUUCUUCUCAAGCUUCUCGAGGAACCAAAAGAAAAUGGGUUCCAGAAGAAUAUGCAGCAUUGGUUUCCUGCAUGGUGGACUUGCACAAUGUUAGAACAUUUAAUGUUGAUACCGGGUUCAAAGCCGGUUAUUUAAACGAGUUGGAAAGAAUGCUACAAAAGGCUUUACCAAAUGCAAUGCUGAAGGCGAAACCUAAUAUUGAAUCAAUGAUUAGGUUACUAAAAAGGAAGUGGUCAAUCAUCUGCGACAUGCUUAAUGGCCAAAGCAAUAGCGAUUUUGGUUGGGACGAGCAUAGGCAGCUCGUUGUUGCUGAAGAUACAGUUUGGGACUCCUAUUUAAGGGUAAGAUUAUUUAAAGUCUUUAUUAUCUUAUUUUUACCAAACUUAUAACUAAUAUGAUUUUCUCAUUUUUUUAGAGUCACAAAGAAGCCGCUCAAUUCAGACAUCGUACUUUCCCUUACUACGACCAGCUUACUGCCAUAUACACAAGAGAUCGAGCGACUAGGAAAGAUGCUCUAACAGCUGCUGAUGUUCUUGAAGAAAUAAAUGCUUCUACAGAUAUGAAUGAAGAAAGAAACUCAUUCUAUGAUUGCGAAGCUGACAUCUCUUUGGAUGACAUAGAUGUUUCUACUACGGAGCCGCGACGAGAUAGAGACCAAGGGGGUUCCUCAUCUUCAAACAAGAAAAAGAAGAAAUCUGAUGCUCGUGAUAAUAUGUCUUCUUCAUUUAAUGAGGCUGCCACUUUAUUGGCCGAAAACAUGCGGGCCAUUUGCGAACAAAUCAGUAGGAGUAUUGCCUCCGAUGUGGUCGUUCAGCAGAAGUCAGAAGAAUUCCAGAUCAUCCAAGAGAAAGUUACAAAUUUAUAUUCAACCUUAUGGGAAAUUAAAGGUUUAACUGUCAAUGAGCGGUAUCGAGCUUUGAGUAAAAUUCCAGCUCAUCCUACUUAAAUGCUCGUUUUCUUUAGUUUACCUUCUGAUGCGCGAUUAGAAUGGGUCAAAAGAUUUCUUUCUGACCAUUAAAAAUCAAUGUUCAAACUUUUCGAUGUUGUAAAACAAUAUAACAUAUGGAUUAUUAUGUAGAAUUUCAUUUUCAUCUAACCUUUUGUUAAUAUAAGUUAAUUAUGUUUAUGCAGAAUAUAAUUUUCAAGUUAUAUUAUGAUUUUAGUAAAUUCAUAUAAGAAUAUUUAUUAUUAAGAAUUUUAUAAAAUUAUAUAAAUUCAUAUAAGAAAAUUUAUUAGUAAUAAUUAUUUUAAAUUAUACAAAUUCAUAUAAGAAAAUUUAUUAGUAAUAAUUAUUUUAAAUUAUACAAAUUCAUAUAAGAAAAUUUAUUAGUAAUAAUUAUUUUAAAUUUUAUUAAAUCAUAUACUUUAAUUAAAAUAUAUUUAAUAAUAAUUAUUUCAUAUUAUAUUUUAUUGUAUCAUAUAUUAUGAUUUUAGUAAAUUCAUAUAAGAAUAUUUAUUAUUAAGAAUUUUAUUAAAUCAUAUAUUUUAAUUAAAAUAUAUUUAAUAAUAAUUAUAUUAAAUUAUAUUUUAUAGUAUCAUAUAUUAUUAUAUGAAAUUCAUAUAAGAAUAUUGAUUAUUAAGAAUUUUAUUAAAUUAUAUUUUAAUUAAAAUAUAUUUAAUAAUAAUUAUGUUAAAAUAUGAUUAAAUUAUUUAUUAUUGAUAUUAAUAAUCUUAUUAAAAUUUAAUAACAAUAACAAUAAUUAUUUACCUAAACAAAUUUCUGCUAAGGGUAUUCUAGUCAUUUUAAUUUUUUCCCUUAUGCUAUUACACCUCCAUUCCAUUCAACCAAACACAAGAAUACUAUUACGCAUCUAUUUCAUUACAUUCAACCAAACAAUUGAUUUGCUAUUACGCCUCUAUUCCAUUACGUCUCUAUUCCAUUACAGCGAACCAAACGUGCUGUAAAUCUUUUUCUUCUAAUAGUGAAGACACGGUGAGAGAAAAGAAAAAAUAAGGAAAUGAAUCUUCAAGAAAUUUAAUUUGACGGAAAAAAAAUUAGGAGAAAUUAAAACUAACCUUAAAAAAAACCUUGAAGAAAUAAAAUCUGACUUGGAAAUUUUUUAAUCUUUUAAAUUUGAGUUGGAAAAAGUGGUUGAUGUGGCAUAAAAUAAUUGGAUAAGACCAUAUAUGAUGUGGUGGGAAUGGUCCAUAAAAUAAUUUCUCUUAGCAACAAUGAUGUGGUGCUCCAUGUCAACAACAAUUGCUGAUGUGACACUGUCACAUCAGUUACCUCGUCAGAAAAAUAAAAUAAAUUAUUUUUUUUUAAAAAUAAACAUUUAAUUUUUUUACUAGAACGAACUUGGAUAUAUGAUUGAUUGUCUAGUUUUAUUCGUUUCAAAGCUUAAUUUUUAAAAAAAAUUAAAAAUAUAAAUAUUUAAAAUUUUAAAAAAUUUUAUAAAUUUAUAAAACAUUAUUAAAAUAUAUAAUAAUAUUAAACAAAUUUCAAAAAUUUCAAAAAUAAUAAUUUAUAAAUAUCAUUUAAAAGUUAAGUCCAGAUUCACAUUGAAUCACGACAAUCAUUUGUCAAGAUUUAUUCAAAUUAUUUUUCUAAAUUAUAUAAAUUUAAAAAGACAUUUAAAAGUAGUUUUCUUUAAUAACUUGAUAUGUAUCAAUGCUUUAAUUCUAUUGGUACCUUUUGGAUGUAAAAAAUUAAAAAUAUAUACUUUAGAAAAUAAAUAAAUAAAAAUAAUUUUAAUUUUAUUAAUUGUACGUGUAAAUUUAUUUUUUAAAUGUAUGAAUAUGUCCAAUUAAAAAAUGUGUAUCAAUUAUCUUAUUAUAUGUGUAGACUAAAAGGUGUAUCAAUUAUUUUCUUACAUGUGUAGCCUAAAAGGUUUAAAUAAUUGGAUGUAUUUGUACAUUUAAAAAAAACUUUAUAAAUUGUAGGUACUACUAAGAAUAACGAGUAUUCACUUUGUAAAUUAAUAUUUUUUAGAAUUUAAAAGUCUAUUGUGCUAGCACGUAUUUGUCUGCUUUUCUAGCAAGUUUUGGUUUCUAAGGUUUUUAGUGCGCUUGUUUUGGAUGGUAGUAUGGAAAGCGGCGGUAGAAGCAUAGAGAAUGACUUGGCUAAUCUUACGUUGGAAGAUGAUGAAGAUGAGAUCUUAGCAGUUAGUAGCGAUCCAGAUUCGACAAAGGAGGUUUAUAAUUUGUGUUUGGUUGGGUGUUUUUUCACGGAAAGUGUAAUUCAUUUCCCGGCAAUGAGAAGUACAAUGGAAAACUUGUGGCAUCCCAUUAAGCGAGUACAUAUAUCAGAUUUGGGAGAAAAAUAGUUUUUGUUCUGAUUUUUUCAUAAAAUGAAUUUGGAAAGAGUGCAAAGUGGAUCGCCAUGGACUUUCAAUAAUCUUUUGGUGUUGCAUUGUAUGGUAGAGGGGGAGGUUCCACUAAAAGUCCCAUUAUUAUCUGUUUGUUUCUGGGUGCAUGUCCAUGAUAUGCCCUCAGGAUUCUUUUCUGAACGAGUAGCAAGAUAAUUAGGAGAUUUUGUGAGGGGGUUUAUGUAGUAUGAUACAAAAAUUUUGGAAAGGGUUUUCAACAAUUAUAUACGAGUUUAUGUAUUGUUUGAUGUUCAACGAUCGCUAAAAAGAAAGAAGAGGCUCAUGUUCUCGUCGGGUAUUUGUUCAUAUGUCAAUUUCAAGUAUGAACGGUUAAUCAUGUUUUACUUUUAUUGUGGAUGUCUGGGUCACAGUGAUUCUUUCUGCCAAAUAAAGAUGGAGACAUAGACUGAUGUUGUGGAAAUGAUAUGAGAUUUGUCAAUACGUGCUCAAUCAAUGAGGGCUCUAGCAAUAAACAGUAUAUGGAUAAAAGGAGGAAGAGGGUGUAGAGGAGUAAUGUCAGAUAAGGUUAAUCCUAUGUUGGGGUAAAUUUGGAAGGAGAAUCAAAUGGUGGGUCGGGUCAAAUAGAAAUGGAACAUGAUUCUGAGGAGUGUCCUUUUGAGGGAGUGAAGGGAAGAAACGGCUACGAGGGGAAGAAAGUUCUCGAAGCGGAUCGGGAAUAGAUGACUCUAGGAAAGGAAUGAAAGGAAUGAUGGUAGUUAAACCUCAUUAUUUAUCGAUGGCUGCUAAGGGGCAAGCCGAUCGGUCGCAAUGAAACUCCUGAGUUGGAAUGUCUGUGAGCUGGGGAGCCUACGGGCUGUUAGAAGACUUUGACAUACGUUGAAGACGUCUAAUCCCCAAUUGGUCUUCUUUAUGGAGAUAAAACUGGAUGGUAGAAGAAUGGAAGUAGUGAGGAGGCGAUGUGGUUUUGUUAAUAGGAUUGAUGUGGGGGCUGAUGGUUCUUGUGGAAGCCUCUGUUUAGCAUGGAAGGAGGACCUAAUUAUCACUUUACAUAGUUUCUCUAUGAACCAUCUAGAUGUGAUGGUAAAAGAGAAUGAUGAAGAGGGGGAUUAAAAAUUUAUAAGUUUUUAUGAAACCCCAUUUAUUAGGAAUAUGAGCGAUUUGUGAAAUGUUUUUAAGAAUUUGGGGAAUUAUUAAGAUCUUCCAUGGUUUGUAUGCUGGGAUUUUAAUGAAAUUAUGUUUUCUUUUGAGAAAGUGGGGGUAUUCCAAGGGACGAACAGAGAAUAGAGACGUUUCAGGAAGUUUUGGAGGAGUGUCGUUUAUUGUAUGUGGGUUAUUCUGGGACAUGGUUUACUUGGGAGAGACGGAAUUUACCGAAAAAAAUAUUCGGGAACGAUUGGAUAAAGGUGUGGCAAACGAUGGUUGGUUGGGUAGAUUUCUGAAUGCCAUUAUUUAUCACAUACCCUAUUCUUUCUCUGAUCAUUGCCCUCUUUUAGUUCAUACGGAUAUGCAAGGAAAUGUGAGGGGUAAUAAAAAAUUUCGCUUCGAAGCUUAGUGGACAAUGGAAGAGUCUUUCGAAUGAGAAAUAAAAAAAAUUGGGAAUUGAGUAAAGGGGAUAUAUUUGCUAAGCUAAAGAGUCUUCGAGUAGAACUGGAGAGUUGGGUAAGACGGAUAAAAGAGAAAUGGCACAAUUUGAAAAUGUUUUUGACCAGGAAAUUGGAGCAAUUAUUGGUCUCAAAUCGGGAUGAUGGGAAUUUGGCAAAACUUAUUGACACAAGAGUUCAUUGGAACUGGGAGAUUGAUAAGGAUGAAGCUUUCUGGGAAUAAAGAGCGAGAGUUAAUUGGUUAAAGUUAGGGGAUAGAAACACGAAUUUUUCCAUAAUUAUGCUUUGCAUCGCAUGAAAAAUAAUAUGUUUAAAUGUUUGAAGUAUGGAGAUGGAAAGGGAACUAAGGAGGGUACGAAGAUGGAAAAAAUCGCAAGGGUUUUUUUUAAAAAUUUAUUUGUAGCAAAGGGGGUGGGUGAGUUAACUCAUAUUUUGUCCAAGGUAAGGAGAUAUAUUACUAAUGACUUGAAUAUGAUGUUAACAGGGACAUACAAAAAGGAGGAAGUCUAUGUGGCCUUAAGGGAUAUGGGUCCAACUAAGGCACCAGAUUUGGAUAGCUUUGCGGCAUUAUUCUAUUAGAGAUAUUGGCUUAUUGUGGGACGUGAUGUAAGUCUCUAUUGUUUGGGUGUUUUAAAUUAUGGUAAGGAACUUGACCCUGUGAAUGUUACAAACAUUGUUCUCAUACCAAAAAUCUCUCACCCCACUAAUAUGACGAUUUUUAGACCUAUCAGCUUAUGUAAUGUUUUAUAUAAAAUAAUUGCAAAAAUGGUGGCUAAUCGACUUUAAAAGACUUUUGAUGUUUGCAUUGAUAGUGCUCAAAGUGCGUUUGUGCUAGGACAUCUAAUUUCAGAUAAUGUAUUACUUGCAUAUGAGAUUUGCAUACUUUCAGGAAAAAAAGAAUCGGACGUAAAGGUUUUAUGGCUUUAAAAUUGGACAUGAGCAAGGCGUGUGAUCGAGUUGAGUGGGGUUUCUAAGGGCAAUGAUAGAACAAAUGGGUUUUGCACAAGUCUGGGUGGAUAUUAUGAUGAAGUGUGUCUCAACGAUCUCCUAUUAUGUUAGUAUCAAUCAAAUCAUGGGAGAGUUCUUUCGGCCUUUUAGAGGACUACGACAAUGGGACCCUUUAAGUCCUUUUUUAUUUCUAAUUUAUAAUACGUCAUCUUCUCUAAUGAGGCUUGCGGUUAAAGAGGGCUUGACAAAAAGAGCAAAUGUGAGUAGGAGUGGGCCUCAAAUUUCACAUCUACUCUUUGCAGAUGAUUGCGUUCUUUUUGGAGAGGCUUCAAAGAGGGAUGUACAUGUCAUUAAACGGAUUUUGGAAUGAAGUAUGUUCGGGACAAUGUGUGAAUUUUGGAAAAUCUACGAUUUUUUAUAGUGCAAAUACUUCUGAUAUGGUUAGGGUGCAACUAUCAACGGAAUUGGGAGUUCGAUGCUCAAAUAACCUAGAGAGAUACCUAGGCCUUCCUAAUGUGGUGGGUAGAAAUAAAAAGGCUUCGUUUUAGGUUUUGAAGGAUUGGAUGAAAAGGAAAAUUGAUGGGUGGAGUACGAGAUUUCUCUCACAAUGGGGCAAGGAGAUAUUUAUAAAGUCAAUACUUCAAGCCAUACCGGUGUAUUCUAUGGCCCGUUUCUUAUUGCCAAAAUUUUUAUGUGGGGAAAUGGAAAUUAUUGUGGCAGGAUUUUUAUGGCAAAAGGGUCAUGGACGUAGGGGUAUUCACUAGUGUGAAUGGGGAAGAAUGUAUGAUUUGAAAAAGGAAGGGGUUUGGGUUUCAGAAGUUUUAAGAAAUUUAAUGUGGCUCUCUUAGACAAACAAGGAUGGAGACUUAUUAAUUAUCUCAAUUCUUUAAUUGCUCGAGUUUUGAAAGCCAAAUGUUACCCUCGAUCUGAUUUUUUCAUUGUUAGCUUAAGACAUGGGGUGUCAUAUACUUGGAGAAGUAUCUGGUCAGUGAAGAAGUUGUUGUGUGAUGGGACCGGAUGGAGAGUGGGUACGAGAGAUGGGAUUUCAAUUAUUAAUCAUGCAUGGAUUCCAGGUUCAGAUGAUUAUAAAUUAAGCAAUGGGGUUGAAAAUAAAGAAAGGAGGAGGGAGCCUAUUUUGGAUACCUUUUCGAGUAUUGAUGUAGGUAGAAUACUAAGCAUUCCUUUGGCUAGUAUUCCUCAUGAGGAUGUGAUGGUGUGGAGAGGCGAGCCUUUAGGGGACUUUUCUAUACGAAGCACCUAAAAACUGGUAUUUCUACCCCUACUUUUAAUGAGAUAUAGACCAAUGCUAGAGAUUUCUAUAGAAAGCUACGGGGCCUAAAGCUUCGACUAAAAUUAAAAUUUCAAUAUGGCAAAUUUAGAAGAAUUAUAUUCGUACUUUAAAAAAUUUGCAUUUUAUGCGACUUGUUUCAAGUCUGAUAUGCCCAAGAUGUGGUAAUGCUGUUGAAAAUUUAGACCAUGUCUUUCGUGGUUGCCCUGUUACAAUUUAAGUUUGGAUGUUAUUAGGGUUUCAUGGAAUUAUGUCAAAUUUUGACCAGGGAUUUUUUGAAUGGUAUACCUGGGUCUUUAGAGAAUGUUCGAUUACCCAAAAUCGAGUAUUUUGUGUUACACUAUGAAGCCCGUAGCCAGAUAGAAACAAGAAGGUGCACGAAAAAAUUAGUAAAACAGGUAGGGCGAUUGCCACUUCUAUAUUUUGUUACAUAAAAGAAUUGGAGAUUGAAGAGGUAAGGGAAGUAACCAGACAAGGUAAGGAAAGAAAAUGGGAACCUCCUGUAGGGGCGAGAAUUAAAAUAAACUUUGACGCGGCCUUUGAUGAAUUGCAUUCUAGAUUGGGAUCGGGAAUCGUUGCUAGGAGUGCUUUGGGUACAGUUUUGGUAUCUCGAUCGAUUCUGCAUGUAGAGGUUGGAACGGUUUUUGCAGCUGAGGCCUUCUCGUGUUCAUGGGCAAUACAAAUGGGCUUAGAAAUGGGGUUAACGGAAGCAACAAGUUAUACACGAUAGAUCUAAUAUAAGCGCCUAUAUUCGAAACAGCUAACAGAAGAUGAACAGUUUUACUUUUAUUCGGCUUAAACAUGCAAGUUAUUUUGAAAAUCAGUUAGCCUAUUUUUUAGCAAAGGAGAGUCUGAGAUCUGGUGAAGGCUUUUACCUGGAAGAUGUUGUCCCGAGUUAUGCGAUGAGGACGAUGAAAGCUGAACGGGUGUGAGAGCCGGAUUGAGGAGGAUCGGAAGCAAGUUUUCCAGCCCCGGUGAAAGGAAAGAAAGGAUGAGAACUCUUUUCUUGUGUUUUUUUGGAUAUCUGCAAAAUCGGGUUUGGAAAAGGAAACUUCUUGGAAAUGAAACCGUCCGAUUUUGAAAUGAUGAGGGGAUAAGGCCGGUUUUACUUUUCCUAUUUGGCUGGGCUAGGUAGUUUAUUUUUUAAUUGCUUGUUUUGGUUCUAUGUUUCAUUUCUGGUUUUGGGCUCGGUGGGGUCGUGCCAGAUCAUUUCCAUUGUGUUAUCAUUUUUCUUCUUUUAAUAACAAAUCCUGG